AUGGAAGUCAGCUUCGCAAAUUAGCUUAUUGUACUUGUCUGACAUUAGCCAUCACAACCAAAACCAACGAUUUCUGGACCAGAUACCAGUGGGAUCUCCAUGCUCUCUCACUGCAACACAUCCCCUCCUCACCCUUUGAGGAAGAUAUCUCUGUUGAAGCACCAGCAGGGCUGCUUUCUGUACCCUCACCCAACUCCACCCAGCUACUCUGACACUGACACCUCAGUGGGUAUUGUCACUAGGUUAGAAUCGGGAGCACCUGAUGGCAAGCACUUCACUGCGAUGUCUCCACAGCUGCUUGAGGAAGAAAUGGACAACUUGACUUGCACUCAGAGGACUACCAGAGACCAGGCACCUCCUGAGCACUAGACAGGAGUGGACCCUAAGGUAGCUGACAGCAUGGGGCUGUGAACAAGAGACAGAGAAGCCCUUAAUUCUCCACCAGCUCAGAUGCUUUCCCUUUUCUAUGCAGUGAAAUCCACUUUAAGCCUGAAGAAAUAAAUUCAUAUUUAAUUCAGCAGUUGAUGUAAAUUUUAAUUGCUAAACAAAUCUCCCUCUGCCUCUUGCAAACUAAUGAAAGCAUCAAGAGAGGAAUGACCAAGAGACAACACAAGAAUCAUGAGAUUCAUUUCAGGAAGCACUGAACCGCCAUCCCAAUCUUUCCUCUGUCUAUAGUGGGUGUACGUCUGUGUGUGUAUG